rnacentral:tRNA from 1 species
GGAACAAUGGCAGAGGUGGUCAAUGCGCCCGAUUGAAGCUCGGGAGAUAUAGGUUCAAUUCCUUUUUGUUCCA